rnacentral:rRNA from 1 species
UACGUAGGGGGGCAAGCGUUGUCCGGAUUUAUUGGGCGUAAAGAGCGUGUAGGCGGCUUGACAGGUCUGCUGUGAAAACUCGAGGCUCAACCUCGAGAUGUCGGCGGAAACCGUCUGGCUAGAGUCCGGAAGAGGAAAGUGGAAUUCCCGGUGUAGCGGUGAAAUGCGCAGAUAUCGGGAAGAACACCCGUGGCGAAGGCGGCUUUCUGGGACGGUACUGACGCUGAGACGCGAAAGCGUGGGGAGCGAACAGG